rnacentral:rRNA from 1 species
UACGGAGGGUGCAAGCGUUAUUCGGAAUUAUUGGGCGUAAAGAGCGCGUAGGCGGUCCUUUAAGUCAGAUGUGAAAGCCCAGGGCUCAACCCUGGAAGUGCAUUUGAAACUAAAGGACUUGAGUAUGGGAGAGGGAAGUGGAAUUCCUGGUGUAGCGGUGAAAUGCGUAGAUAUCAGGAGGAACACCGGUGGCGAAGGCGACUUCCUGGACCAAUACUGACGCUGAGGCGCGAAGGCGUGGGGAGCAAACAGG